GAAAUGCGAUAAGUAAUGUGAAUUGCAGAAUUUAGUGAAUCAUCGAAUCUUUGAACGCAUAUUGCGCCCUUUGGUAUUCCGAGGGGUAUGCCUGUUCGAGUGUCAUUAGUAAUACUCAAGCUUUGCUUGAUAUUGGGUUACACUAGUAAUAGCUAACCCUAAAACUAGUGGUGUUACCAUUAGGUUCCAAGCAUAAUAAUUUUUUUGCUAAGGGACUUAUGGUUAAAACCCAUUAAUUCCAAAAAUUUUAAGGUUGACCUCGAAUCAGGUAGGAAUACCCGCUGAACUUAA
rnacentral:misc_RNA from 1 species